AUUGAACGCUGGCGGCAGGCCUAACACAUGCAAGUCGAGCGGAUGAAGGGAGCUUGCUCCUGGAUUCAGCGGCGGACGGGUGAGUAAUGCCUAGGAAUCUGCCUGGUAGUGGGGGAUAACGUCCGGAAACGGGCGCUAAUACCGCAUACGUCCUGAGGGAGAAAGUGGGGGAUCUUCGGACCUCACGCUAUCAGAUGAGCCUAGGUCGGAUUAGCUAGUUGGUGGGGUAAAGGCCUACCAAGGCGACGAUCCGUAACUGGUCUGAGAGGAUGAUCAGUCACACUAGAACUGAGACACGGUCCAGACUCCUACGGGAGGCAGCAGUGGGGAAUAUUGGACAGUGGGCGAAAGCCUGGUCCAGCCAUGCCGCGUGUGUGAAGAAGGUCUUCGGAUUGUAAAGCACUUUAAGUUGGGAGAAAGGGCAGUAAGUUAUUACCUUGCUGUUUUGACGUUACCAGCAGAAUAAGCACCGGCUAACUUCGUG
rnacentral:rRNA from 1 species